rnacentral:rRNA from 1 species
GAUGAACGCUAGCGGCAGGCCUAAUACAUGCAAGUCGAGGGGUAUAGAAGAGCUUGCUUUUCUAGAGACCGGCGCACGGGUGCGUAACGCGUAUGCAACCUACCUUUAUCAGGGGGAUAGCCCGAAGAAAUUCGGAUUAACACCGCAUAAAAUCACAGUACAGCAUUGUACAAUGAUCAAAUAUUUAUAGGAUAAAGAUGGGCAUGCGUGUCAUUAGCUAGUUGGCGGGGUAACGGCCCACCAAGGCGACGAUGACUAGGGGAUCUGAGAGGAUGACCCCCCACACUGGUACUGAGACACGGACCAGACUCCUACGGGAGGCAGCAGUAAGGAAUAUUGGUCAAUGGAGGCAACUCUGAACCAGCCAUGCCGCGUGCAGGAAGACUGCCCUAUGGGUUGUAAACUGCUUUUAUCCGGGAAUAAACCUACUUACGUGUAAGUAGCUGAAUGUACCGGAAGAAUAAGGAUCGGCUAACUCCGUGCCAGCAGCCGCGGUAAUACGGAGGAUCCAAGCGUUAUCCGGAUUUAUUGGGUUUAAAGGGUGCGUAGGCGGCCUGUUAAGUCAGGGGUGAAAGACGGUGGCUCAACCAUCGCAGUGCCCUUGAUACUGACGGGCUUGAAUGGACUAGAGGUAGGCGGAAUGAGACAAGUAGCGGUGAAAUGCAUAGAUAUGUCUCAGAACACCGAUUGCGAAGGCAGCUUACUAUGGUCUUAUUGACGCUGAGGCACGAAAGCGUGGGGAUCAAACAGGAUUAGAUACCCUGGUAGUCCACGCCCUAAACGAUGAACACUCGCUGUUGGCGAUACACAGUCAGCGGCUAAGCGAAAGCGUUAAGUGUUCCACCUGGGGAGUACGCCCGCAAGGGUGAAACUCAAAGGAAUUGACGGGGGCCCGCACAAGCGGAGGAGCAUGUGGUUUAAUUCGAUGAUACGCGAGGAACCUUACCCGGGCUUGAAAGUUAGUGAAUUAUCCAGAGAUGGAUAA